AUUGAACGCUGGCGGCAGGCUUAACACAUGCAAGUCGAGCGGAGAUGAGGUGCUUGCACCUUAUCUUAGCGGCGGACGGGUGAGUAAUGCUUAGGAAUCUGCCUAUUAGUGGGGGACAACAUUCCGAAAGGAAUGCUAAUACCGCAUACGCCCUACGGGGGAAAGCAGGGGAUCUUCGGACCUUGCGCUAAUAGAUGAGCCUAAGUCGGAUUAGCUAGUUGGUGGGGUAAAGGCCUACCAAGGCGACGAUCUGUAGCGGGUCUGAGAGGAUGAGCCGCCACACUGGGACUGAGAGACGGCCCAGACUCCUACGGGAGGCAGCAGUGGGGAAUAUUGGACAAUGGGCGGAAGCCUGAUCCAGCCAUGCCGCGUGUGUGAAGGAGGCCUUUUGGUUGUAAAGCACUUUAAGCGAGGAGGAGGCUACCUGGAUUAAUACUCUAGGAUAGUGGACGUUACUCGCAGAAUAAGCACCGGCUAACUCUGUGCCAGCAGCCGCGGUAACAC
rnacentral:rRNA from 1 species